rnacentral:rRNA from 1 species
UACGGGGGGGGCAAGCGUUGUUCGGAAUUACUGGGCGUAAAGGGCUCGUAGGCGGCCAACUAAGUCAGACGUGAAAUCCCUCGGCUUAACCGGGGAACUGCAUCUGAUACUGGAUGGCUUGAGAGUGGGAGAGGGAUGCGGAAUUCCAGGUGUAGCGGUGAAAUGCGUAGAUAUCUGGAGGAACACCGGUGGCGAAGGCGGCAUCCUGGACCAACACUGACGCUGAGGAGCAAAAGCCAGGGGAGCAAACGGG